rnacentral:tRNA from 1 species
UCCCGGCUAGCUCAAUCGGUAGAGCGUGAGACUCUUAAUCUCAAGGUUGUGGGUUCGACCCCCACGUCGGGCU